rnacentral:rRNA from 1 species
GGCCUACCAUGGUGGUAACGGGUAACGGGGUGUUAGGGCACGACACCGGAGAGGGAGCCUGAGAAACGGCUACCACAUCCAAGGAUGGCAGCAGGCGCGCAAAUUACCCAAUCCCGACACGGGGAGGUAGUGACAAUAAAUAACAAUACGGGGUUCUUUCGGAUCUCGUAAUUGGAAUGAGUACAAUUUAAAUCUCUUAACGAGGAACAAUUGGAGGGCAAGUCUGGUGCCAGCAGCCGCGGUAAUUCCAGCUCCAAUAGCGUAUAUUAAAGUUGUUGCAGUUAAAAAGCUCGUAGUUGAAUUUCGGGGUCAGUAGGUUGGUCGUGCCACAGGUAUGAACUGGUCUCACUGAUUCCUCCUUCCUGAUGAACCGUAAUGCCAUUAAUUUGGUGUUGCGGGGAGACUGGACUGUUACUUUGAAAAAAUUAGAGUGUUUAAAGCAGGCUAACGCUUGAAUACAUUAGCAUGGAAUAAUGAAAUAGGACGUUCGGUCUUAUUUUGUUGGUUUCUAAGAUUGACGUAAUGAUUAAUAGGGAUAGUUGGGGGCAUUAGUAUUCAAUUGUCAGAGGUGAAAUUCUUGGAUUUAUUGAAGACUAACUACUGCGAAAGCAUUUGCCAAGGAUGUUUUCAUUAAUCAAGAACGAAAGUUAGGGGAUCGAAGACGAUCAGAUACCGUCGUAGUCUUAACCAUAAACUAUGCCGACUAGGGAUCGGAUGAUGUUAAUUUUUUAAUGACUCAUUCGGCGCCUUACGGGAAACCAAAGUGUUUGGGUUC